UAAUAUACUGUGAUUGAGAGAGUAGGUAUAAUUAGCUUAUUAAAGGGAGAAGUAAUCAUAGACUGAGAGUUACUUUAUAAGUGUUAUAUUGAAGUUCACUCAGGAGUUCUAACUAUGAAAUUUUAGUAGUAGUUAGCGGGUAAAACCGUUAAAUUUACGAGUUGGAUUUAAUACAUUUUAUUAAAUCAAUUAGGGUGGUAACGCGGAUUAUUCCGUCCCUUGU
rnacentral:ncRNA from 1 species